UACAGAGGCCUCGAGCGUUGCGCGGAGUCACUGGGCUUAAAGGGUGCGUAGGCGGCGCCGCAAGUGCUUUGUGAAAUCCCACGGCUCAACCGUGGAAUUGCUUGGCAGACUGCGGUGCUUGAGGUCGGUAGAGGUUGCUGGAACUCUAGGUGGAGCGGUGAAAUGCGUAGAUAUCUAGAGGAACGCCAAUGGUGAAGACAGGCAACUGGGCCGAUUCUGACGCUGAGGCACGAAAGCGUGGGGAGCGAACGGG
rnacentral:rRNA from 1 species